GCGCACGGGUGCGUAACGCGUAUGCAACCUACCUUUUACUAGAGUAUAGCCCAGAGAAAUUUGGAUUAAUCCUCUAUAACAUCUUUUAAUUUCAUGAUUAAUUGAUUAAAGUUUUAACGGUAAAAGAUGGGCAUGCGUCCUAUUAGUUUGUAGGUGAGGUAACGGCUCACCUAGACUACGAUAGGUAGGGGCCCUGAGAGGGGGAUCCCCCACACUGGUACUGAGACACGGACCAGACUCCUACGGGAGGCAGCAGUAAGGAAUAUUGGACAAUGGACGAAAGUCUGAUCCAGCCAUGCCGCGUGCAGGAUGAAAGCCCUAUGGGUUGUAAACUGCUUUUAUACAGGAAGAAACACUCCGACGUGU
rnacentral:rRNA from 1 species